rnacentral:rRNA from 1 species
CUCCUAAAGGGCCCAGCAAGACCAGCUGGUUGAUAGGUCGGAUGUGGACGCGCUGCAAGGCGUUGAGCUAACCGAUACUAAUGGCCCGUGAGGCUUGACCCUAUAACACCCAAGGGGUUGGG